UGGGGGAUAUUGCACAAUGGGCGAAAGCCUGAUGCAGCGACGCCGCGUGAGGGAAGACGGUUUUCGGAUUGUAAACCUCUGUCUUCGGGGACGAUAAUGACGGUACCCGAGGAGGAAGCACCGGCUAACUACGUGCCAGCAGCCGCGGUAAUACGUAGGGGGCAAGCGUUAUCCGGAAUUACUGGGUGUAAAGCGCAUGUAGGCUGUUUGUCAAGUCAGAGGUGAAAUCCCACGGCCCAACCGUGGAACUGCCUUUGAAACUGGCAGACUUGAGUGUCGGAGAGGGUGGCGGAAUUCCAGGUGUAGGAGUGAAAUCCGUAGAUAUCUGGAGGAACACCGGUGGCGAAGGCGGCCACCUGGACGAUAACUGACGCUGAGGUGCGAAAGCUAGGGUAGCGAACG
rnacentral:rRNA from 1 species